UAGGGAAUCUUCCACAAUGGACGCAAGUCUGAUGGAGCAACGCCGCGUGAGUGAAGAAGGUCUUCGGAUCGUAAAGCUCUGUUGUUGGUGAAGAAGGAUAGAGGCAGUAACUGGUCUUUAUUUGACGGUAAUCAACCAGAAAGUCACGGCUAACUACGUGCCAGCAGCCGCGGUAAUACGUAGGUGGCAAGCGUUGUCCGGAUUUAUUGGGCGUAAAGCGAGCGCAGGCGGAAUGAUAAGUCUGAUGUGAAAGCCCACGGCUCAACCGUGGAACUGCAUCGGAAACUGUCAUUCUUGAGUGCAGAAGAGGAGAGUGGAACUCCAUGUGUAGCGGUGGAAUGCGUAGAUAUAUGGAAGACACCAGUGGCGAAGGCGGCUCUCUGGUCUGCAACUGACGCUGAGGCUCGAAAGCAUGGGUAGCGAACAGGAUUAGAUACCCUGGUGAGUCCAUGCCGUAAACGAUGAGCAGCUAGG
rnacentral:rRNA from 1 species